rnacentral:rRNA from 1 species
AUUGAACGCUGGCGGAAUGCUUUACACAUGCAAGUCGAACGGCAGCACGGGGGCAACCCUGGUGGCGAGUGGCGAACGGGUGAGUAAUACAUCGGAACGUGCCCAAUCGUGGGGGGAUAACGUAGCGAAAGCUACGCUAAUACCGCAUACGAUCUACGGAUGAAAGCGGGGGAUCGCAAGACCUCGCGCGAAUGGAGCGGCCGAUGGCAGAUUAGGUAGUUGGUGGGGUAAAGGCUCACCAAGCCAACGAUCUGUAGCUGGUCUGAGAGGACGACCAGCCACACUGGGACUGAGACACGGCCCAGACUCCUACGGGAGGCAGCAGUGGGGAAUUUUGGACAAUGGGCGAAAGCCUGAUCCAGCCAUUCCGCGUGCAGGAUGAAGGCC